AUUGAACGCUGGCGGCAUGCUUUACACAUGCAAGUCGAACGGUAACAGGCCUUCGGGUGCUGACGAGUGGCGAACGGGUGAGUAAUGCAUCGGAACGUACCCAGAGGUGGGGGAUAACGCAGCGAAAGCUGUGCUAAUACCGCAUGUGAUCUGAGGAUGAAAGCGGGGGACCGAGCAGCAAUGUUUGGCCUCGCGCCUUUGGAGCGGCCGAUGUCGGAUUAGCUAGUUGGUGGGGUAAAGGCCUACCAAGGCGACGAUCCGUAGCUGAUCUGAGAGGACGACCAGCCACACUGGGACUGAGACACGGCCCAGACUCCUACGGGAGGCAGCAAUGGGGAAUUUUGGACAAUGGGCGCAAGCCUGAUCCAGCAAUGCCGCGUGCGGGAAGAAGGCCUUCGGGUUGUAAACCGCUUUUGGCAGGAACGAAACGGUGUCCGCUAAUACCGGGCGCUAAUGACGGUACCUGCAGAAUAAGCACCGGCUAACUACGUG
rnacentral:rRNA from 1 species